AUAGGUUCCUGGCUAGGUAAGGUCAACGUCCCUCAGUCAGGCUGAAGAAGCUACAGAAGAUGGAUGAUCUUCACCCAUCAGUCCCCCUUUAAAAGCAAGGGACCAGAGUUGGUCUUAAAAAGAUAAAACAGG